rnacentral:misc_RNA from 1 species
CCUAAGAGAUACGUGUUAUGUGGAGUGUUCACACAGAUUGUCUGAUGAAGAACGAGCAAAAGCGCGUCUGCGAAGCUGACAGAAGUCCCCUUCGUCUAGAGGCCUAGGACACCGCCCUUUCACGGCGGUAACAGGGGUUCGAAUCCCCUAGGGGACGCCAAUGCGCGGUAUGAGUGAAAGGCGUACCACUUAUCUGACGAGAGUCAGAGAAUAACUAAGCUAAUUCAAACGAGUUAUCUUACUUAUUAUGCUCUUUAACAAUCUGGAACAAGCUGAAAAAUUGAAAACAAAUCAAUAUAUCACCGAGGUAUAUUGGUGAGUCUCUCAAAAUCUCAAACCUUAAAGUUUGUCACGCAAAGUUUAUCUUUGAAAAAGACACUUUCGGGUUGUGA